rnacentral:lncRNA from 1 species
AGGCUCUGCAAUGUCCUCUGGCCUGAUAAAGCAAGUAUGAAGUCAUCCACUUGGAGAGGCUACAUCUUUGGAAUGGGGAUAACAAUUAUAUUCACUUCAGAAGCAUUUCUGUGGAGAUCAAAUGAACUAAUAUGAGGAACUGAGAUAGAAAGAAGAUAACCAAGGAUACAUAUUAUGAGGAGGACAUUCUAAAAUAACUGCCCAUAGAGAUUUCAUGAGGAAGGACCCACUGAGCACCUAGCAGAUUACACAUAGUGUGGAAAAGGCAUGAAGAGAGAGAGGACUUUCAAGCCAGGUCAUACAAGAAACAAAGCUGGGGACCUGAUCUGCAAAAUCAAGAAGAUUCCAAACAGAAUGUUCCCAGGGGGAGGCAGUUGAAGCUGACCAGGGGGAGAGGAACUGAUUCUCUUUCUCUCUCUCUCUCUCUCUCUCUCUCUCUCUCUCUCUCUCUCUCUCUCUCUCUCUCUCUCUCAACCUCAGCUCUGUUUUUUCUGACCAAGGGAGGCAAACCUGGCUGUAUGGAGAAGAAGCUGAACUGAUCUUGCUAGCUUUUAUCCCAGGCUGAAGGACCCUUAAGGGGGGCUUCUAGAGUUAAGCUGAGAGACCUUGAUGGUUUUGUGAAUUGAAAGAAGGAAAGAAGAUUUAAACAGUUGUCCUCCAUCUUUCUGGAUGUCUUAGAGUCACAGCUGUGACUGGAAUGACUUCCCAAACCCUCAAAUUCUCCUUAUAGAUUAGGGAAACCCUGAUCCCUCUCACCUCAGUUCUCUAUCCUGUUGUUUCCCAAUAAACCCCUUACCUGAGGAAAAAAAACA